rnacentral:rRNA from 8 species
GGGUUGUGAGGUUAAGCGACUAAGCGUACACGGUGGAUGCCUUGGCAGUCAGAGGCGAUGAAGGGCGUGCUAAUCUGCGAUAAGCGCCGGUAAGGUGAUAUGAACCGUUAUAACCGGCGAUACCCGAAUGGGGAAACCCAGUGUGACUCGUCACACUAUCAUUAACUGAAUCCAUAGGUUAAUGAGGCGAACCGGGGGAACUGAAACAUCUAAGUACCCCGAGGAAAAGAAAUCAACCGAGAUUCCCCCAGUAGCGGCGAGCGAACGGGGAGGAGCCCAGAGCCUGAAUCAGCAUGUGUGUUAGUGGAAGCGUCUGGAAAGGCGCGCGAUACAGGGUGACAGCCCCGUACACAAAAGCGCAUGUGCUGUGAGCUCGAUGAGUAGGGCGGGACACGUGGUAUCCUGUCUGAAUAUGGGGGGACCAUCCUCCAAGGCUAAAUACUCCUGACUGACCGAUAGUGAACCAGUACCGUGAGGGAAAGGCGAAAAGAACCCCGGCGAGGGGAGUGAAAAAGAACCUGAAACCGUGUACGUACAAGCAGUGGGAGCCCCACCACUAAGCCAGUGGUGAACUCCACAUCCGCAUCCUUUGCUGAGGAUACGGUUAACGGAGCGAAAGCGACGUUCAACCGCAAAACAAGCAGAGGGGGCUUAGUGGUGGGGUGACUGCGUACCUUUUGUAUAAUGGGUCAGCGACUUAUAUUCUGUAGCAAGGUUAACCGAAUAGGGGAGCCGGAGGGAAACCGAGUCUUAAUUGGGCGUUAAGUUGCAGGGUAUAGACCCGAAACCCGGUGAUCUAGCCAUGGGCAGGUUGAAGGUUGGGUAACACUAACUGGAGGACCGAACCGACUAAUGUUGAAAAAUUAGCGGAUGACCUGUGGCUGGGGGUGAAAGGCCAAUCAAACCGGGAGAUAGCUGGUUCUCCCCGAAAGCUAUUUAGGUAGCGCCUCGUGAAUUCAUCUCCGGGGGUAGAGCACUGUUUCGGCUAGGGGGCCAUCCCGGCUUACCAACCCGAUGCAAACUGCGAAUACCGGAGAAUGUUAUCACGGGAGACACACGGCGGGUGCUAACGUCCGUCGUGAAGAGGGAAACAACCCAGACCGCCAGCUAAGGUCCCAAAGUCAUGGUUAAGUGGGAAACGAUGUGGGAAGGCCCAGACAGCCAGGAUGUUGGCUUAGAAGCAGCCAUCAUUUAAAGAAAGCGUAAUAGCUCACUGGUCGAGUCGGCCUGCGCGGAAGAUGUAACGGGGCUAAACCAUGCACCGAAGCUGCGGCAGCGACGCUGAUGCGUUGUUGGGUAGGGGAGCGUUCUGUAAGCCUGCGAAGGUGACCUGUGAGGGUUGCUGGAGGUAUCAGAAGUGCGAAUGCUGACAUAAGUAACGAUAAAGCGGGUGAAAAGCCCGCUCGCCGGAAGACCAAGGGUUCCUGUCCAACGUUAAUCGGGGCAGGGUGAGUCGACCCCUAAGGCGAGGCCGAAAGGCGUAGUUGAUGGGAAACGGGUUAAUAUUCCCGUACUUGGUGUUACUGCGAAGGGGGGACGGAGAAGGCUAUGUUGGCCGGGCGACGGUUGUCCCGGUUUAAGCGUGUAGGUGUGUGUUCCAGGUAAAUCCGGUUCACUUUAACACUGAGGCGUGAUGACGAGGCACUACGGUGCUGAAGCAACAAAUGCCCUGCUUCCAGGAAAAGCCUCUAAGCAUCAGGUAACAUCAAAUCGUACCCCAAACCGACACAGGUGGUCAGGUAGAGAAUACCAAGGCGCUUGAGAGAACUCGGGUGAAGGAACUAGGCAAAAUGGUGCCGUAACUUCGGGAGAAGGCACGCUGACACGUAGGUGAAGUGAUUUACUCAUGGAGCUGAAGUCAGUCGAAGAUACCAGCUGGCUGCAACUGUUUAUUAAAAACACAGCACUGUGCAAACACGAAAGUGGACGUAUACGGUGUGACGCCUGCCCGGUGCCGGAAGGUUAAUUGAUGGGGUCAGCGCAAGCGAAGCUCCUGAUCGAAGCCCCGGUAAACGGCGGCCGUAACUAUAACGGUCCUAAGGUAGCGAAAUUCCUUGUCGGGUAAGUUCCGACCUGCACGAAUGGCGUAAUGAUGGCCAGGCUGUCUCCACCCGAGACUCAGUGAAAUUGAACUCGCUGUGAAGAUGCAGUGUACCCGCGGCAAGACGGAAAGACCCCGUGAACCUUUACUAUAGCUUGACACUGAACAUUGAGCCUUGAUGUGUAGGAUAGGUGGGAGGCUUUGAAGUGUGGACGCCAGUCUGCAUGGAGCCGACCUUGAAAUACCACCCUUUAAUGUUUGAUGUUCUAACGUGGACCCGUAAUCCGGGUUGCGGACAGUGUCUGGUGGGUAGUUUGACUGGGGCGGUCUCCUCCUAAAGAGUAACGGAGGAGCACGAAGGUUGGCUAAUCCUGGUCGGACAUCAGGAGGUUAGUGCAAUGGCAUAAGCCAGCUUGACUGCGAGCGUGACGGCGCGAGCAGGUGCGAAAGCAGGUCAUAGUGAUCCGGUGGUUCUGAAUGGAAGGGCCAUCGCUCAACGGAUAAAAGGUACUCCGGGGAUAACAGGCUGAUACCGCCCAAGAGUUCAUAUCGACGGCGGUGUUUGGCACCUCGAUGUCGGCUCAUCACAUCCUGGGGCUGAAGUAGGUCCCAAGGGUAUGGCUGUUCGCCAUUUAAAGUGGUACGCGAGCUGGGUUUAGAACGUCGUGAGACAGUUCGGUCCCUAUCUGCCGUGGGCGCUGGAGAACUGAGGGGGGCUGCUCCUAGUACGAGAGGACCGGAGUGGACGCAUCACUGGUGUUCGGGUUGUCAUGCCAAUGGCACUGCCCGGUAGCUAAAUGCGGAAGAGAUAAGUGCUGAAAGCAUCUAAGCACGAAACUUGCCCCGAGAUGAGUUCUCCCUGAGACUUUAGGUCUCCUGAAGGAACGUUGAAGACGACGACGUUGAUAGGCCGGGUGUGUAAGCGCAGCGAUGCGUUGAGCUAACCGGUACUAAUGAACCGUGAGGCUUAACCUUACAACGCCGAAG